AUGAGGUUAGAUUUGCUUUAUUUCCAGUAUCUGGGAUUUGUGGGUUUGGGACUAAGAUGGCAUGGAUGUACUGUAGCUGUCCCUCCGUACUUGUGCCACACCUGCCCAGUCCCCUUGACUGCCCUUCUGCCUUGGUGCCCCAAUUCCCUGGAGCUUUGCCAGUUGACUUGACUGGGGGUUUAUAUUAGCUUCCCCGGUUGCGGAAACAAUGCACCACAAAAACCAGUGGCUUCAACAACUGAUGGUCUUUCACUUCUGGAGCCAGAAGUCUGAGACGACAGUGUCAGGAGAGUUGGUUUCUUCUGAGAGCUAGGAGGAAGAAAGCUCUUCCACGCCUCUCACCUCGCGUCUGGUGGUUUGCUGACAAACGUCCGUGUUCCUUGGCUUCUGCCAUAUUACUCCAGUCUUUCUAUGAAUCUCCCUGUGUGUGUCUAUGUCCAAAUUUCCCCUUUCAAAAGGACACAGUUGUACUGGACUAGGUGCCACCCUGUUCCAGUAUGUCCUCAUUUUAACUAAUUGCAUUUGCAAUGACCCUAUUUCUAAAUAAGGUCACAUUCUCAGAUAUGGGGGCAGGAUUUCAUUAUAUGAAUGGGGAAAUGGCACAAUCCAACCCAUGACAGGAUUCUUGCCUAGUUUUCUUUCUUUUUUUUUUUUUCUCUUUAAACCAAUCUACUUUUCUUAUAUCGGAAAUUUCCUAGGCACCUCCCCAGUUAUUAAACGGGAGUUGAGCUUUAAACCAGGUGGACCAUUUGGAAUCACGAUACUGAUUGCUGGUCACCUGAAUUCCCAAAGCACCCCAGCCUAGAAUCUGCCACCACGUUCUGUCUGCCAGAUCGGACCCCCUUGAUAGCACUGCUGACCCAGGAAAAGAUCAGCUGUGCCUUGAAAUUUGUUCUUGGGGCUUUGACCAGUUUCCUGUCCCCUCUUUUGAGGCCCUGUUGUGAGACAGGUUAGUGCUUUCCACCUUCCUCUGUUUCUCAACACCUUCUCUAGUUAUCUCUAUCCUCCUUCUCCAGAUGGCCCUGUGUAGGCAGUAUCUUGAAAGCCUCAUAGCUGAACCCUCAAAAUAGUAAGAGUGCUUCCACAGGCUAUAGGCAUUAUCAAUUAAAUUAAUAAAUCAUAUAGGUUAAAGUAACACUUUGUGCUCUAGAAUCCACAAAUACAACCAAGAAUACUACCAAGAAGUCACAUAUGACCUUCAAGUACUUCAGUUAUGAGUAAUCUACAGGAAAUCUCUAGGUAAUACAACUUCAGUGAUGGGGUUGAAUUAUCAGAAAGUUAUUGGAUAUCUAUAAAUCUACCACAUAUUUAACACCCUGGACAAUUCCUUAAUUCUCAUGAAUUAUUCAUUUGGAAAACCUGUUUUGAGCAUUAGCUCUGCAUAGUUAGAUCGUGGCAGGGGGGCUACAAAAAUGAAUGAGAAUUCUUUAGAAGUGUUUGGAAAAAUUGAUUUAUCUGGGAGUGAAAAACGAGUGUUAGAAGUAGGGGGGCUUGGCCUGUGUUUUUUGCUCAAACACCUAGACCAUCACACUCUCUGGAGAUGGUUUGUUAUUAGAAGCUAAUUAGUUCUCUUGGAAGUGAACUUGGACAUUUCUUCCUUCUGACAUAACUGUGAAUCCUCUCCAGGCCUGAGUGCAUCGGGGCCAAUUCCUCUGGUUAGUUGAUAUGUAAAAGAACAUCUCCAAGAAAAAUAAUGAGUCCAGAGAAGAAGCAGAGGUGGGGAUGGGUGGCAGCAGUGUGAGGGUGGGAAGUUGUAAGGGGGGAAAAAUAAAGGGGACUGAAAAGCUGCUAAGUUUUCAUAAAAAUACAGCAGUAAGAGAUUCGGCCAACACAGCUGCCCCAAGCUCUCUUCUGUUUACAGUAAUAUGGCAAUAAAGGGAAAUUGUAGAUGGAUAUUACCCAAGGAAUGAGCUUUUUCUCAGAAGCAUAAAUUGGCUUUCAGGCAAGUUAAAAAACAAGGACAAGAAAAAAGUUUCUACAUGGGACACAAAACAAUUUUCCACCAGGUCAGGCUGCACAGCUGGACCCACCUCAGCUCCAGGGUGGACUUUCCUUACGUUUGCUCCAUCACCUGAGGCCUGGGUGGUCCAUGACUAUGAGCUUCCCACAUGGCACUAGAUUCUUCCCUGCAGCAACUCAUUUAGGCUGCCAGCAUGAUCACCACACAGCCACGUUAAGUAGGUGUGAGAGAGAGAGGCUGUGGACCAAAAUGGCCAACCCAGCUCUGUAUACUGGACAUAGAUUUUGGAAGCACCAAAAGCGGUGCUCUGGGAGCUCUGGGUGUUCUCAUUUUAACACCAACUUUACAGCUGAGCUUCUCUGGAGUUUUAAUUUCGGCUGAGUUGUUCCUCCCUCAGUAUAUUAAAGAGUUGUAUAUUAAAGAGUUGUAGUCUUCUGAACCAAUACGUUUUGCCUUUCUUCUUCUUCUUUAUCCUCCUCCUCUUCUACUUUAAUUCCUCAUCUGUUUUUAGUCUUAUAAUGGCUCUUCCCUCUGUGCUCUUAAGUCAUUCAUAACCAGCAUGAUUAUUGCAUGUCUUAACUUUAGGAGAGUUGUAUCUAGAAACUCGUUCCCUGUCCAUCUGUUUUUCUCCAUGCCACCACUUUCCUCACAGUCUUUCCUGGUGGCAGAGCUAGAGCUCAGUUGCCAGAGUCUCUUGAACAAUGUCUGGCCAGGAUGGCCCUUUAUCCUAAUCUGGAAGUGACAGAGGGGCAAUUCUGAUUUCCUCACAAACACUAACUAAUGACACAACUAGUAUUCACCGCAAACUCAACUUUUAUUUCUUAAUAAAGUGCCUAUAGAGUGCAAGACACCAUGUGCAGAAGAGUAUGUAAAGAAUAUUGUCACAGCUCCUGACCUCAGAGGACUGGCUAUCCAGCUAGAGUGAUGAGGCACAGAUAAAGAUAUAGUCCUAUAAUAACCUAUAAGUAGGACAGAUGGAUGAUGUGGGUCGGGACAUAGAGCUCAAGGUCAAGAAACUCAGAGGCUAGUCCUAGCUUUGUCAGAAGAAAGGGGCUGAACAUUUGGAUCUGAGAAUGGAAAUUAUGAAAUCAAGGUUGGGGAGUGGCAGUUCCUGGUAGGCAAGAAGCCACGUGGGCAAGAUGCAAAAGCAGGAACACUACCAUGAAGACGGGUGAUAAUUUCUGCAGAUUUCCCAAGUGUUCUCCAUUUUAUCGUACAUAAAUAGUGACACAAGUAAUCCCUAGGUGUAUAUUCCCUGAAGACAGAGUAUCUUCCAAUGGCAUACUGCAGUGUUUCUCAUACUGUGCUCCAAACCCAUGCAAGCAUCUACAAGAUAUGAAUUGGAGUUCUUCGGAGAAAAUAUGUCAUAGUCAAAGAAAUUUGGAGAUUAAAUAAAACUAAAUAGAUUCCAAAUUA